CAGGCAAGGUUUGCUUCUUUCAGGCUUUGCAGUGCUUAUCGUUGCAGCCUGCUGUGGAGCAGGGCCAGACCUCCCUCCUGUGUCCAGGAGCUUCAUGCAGCAUCAGCUGCCGAAAGGGAAAAGUGUGGAUCCAGUGACCUUUGUUUGUGUAACUGCUGCCCAGAGUCCCUGCUUGACAUUUGAGAAGCAAACCUCCUGGGAGCAGCCUACCCUGAUGAGCUGUGCCCCUACCGCCACGUCCUCAUGGCCAGCUGGUUUGUGUGGCUGGGGCUGACUUGCUGCGUGCUGAGCUGCAUGGGUCACCCAGAGCCUCUUCGCCUUUGAUCUGACACCUCUGCAUGCCGUCUCAGAUGGGUCUCCUAAGACAAGCACAGCAAGGAAUUGAAGGAACCGUGGGACCAGAUGCUGCAAAGCCAGGCACAGGAGCAGCAGGAGCUGCAGCCAGGACACCCUUGCUGUGGUUCAACAGGCACUGCAAGAUAGACACACGAUGGGCAGAGAGGAGCUUUGUGAAAUCCAACAAAGGGAACUAUGAACUCCUGCCUCUGGAAAGGAAUAACCCCAUGCACCAGUACACAUUGGAGGCCAACCAGCUGGAAAGCAACUUUGCAGAUAGGGCUGCAAAGACCACUGAGAGUGCCUCGGAUCUGCCACAGCAGAGCUGGCCCGGGCUGCUUCACCCCCUCAGCAGUGGGAGAAGUCCUGGCAGGGUCUGCAUUUCAGAGGAGCACCCAGAAACGUGGCAGAACUACACUGAGGAGCAGUGACUGCUUCCAUCCAGCUGGAGAGAGAAGCCUGUCUUCGUAUUUGGUGGUCUUGCUUGAAAUCAGACCCAGCAACGUGAUGAGGAGGAAGAGUUGGAAGACAAGAGUGAUUCAAUCCAGGAGAUUCACACUGCAAGAGGAUGUUAACGUCACGGCACCCCACCUGCCUGGUUCCCUAGCACCCACUUGCUUGCAAAGGUGAUGAGGGAGACACCAGCUUCAUUUUACAGGUGGGAAUUUGUGCAGUAAUAUAAAAUCAUGGUUUUGCUCAAUGUCACAAAGCAAAUCAGAAGCUACCCUGGGAGCCCAGGUGAUCUGAACAAGUUCCCAGAUGAAAUACUGGUUGAACUGCCAGAUCAUCAUUAAACUGCCAGAAAGGAGCAUCUUCUCUUGGUAUUGAUAGAUAUUUGACUGCAUGCACCUGAAACAGAUGAAGACACCUGCUAGAAGGAGUUUGAUAGCUUUACAGACUGGUAUCUGUGCCAUGAAUCAUACCUGAUACUUGUUAUUAGAUGUUACAAACAGCUGACUGAGCAAUCAGAGAUGAGUCUUAUGGAAGUCUACCUGCUACAGCCCAGAGUUAUUGGGGAAAGGGCUGCUUGGACAGCUGAGAGUGGAAGGAAAAUCCUUUUGAAGUUCAAUGUUAAAAACAACAACAACCAAAACGAAACACUGGGGGGGGGGAAAAAAAGAGAAAACACCCAAAGGCAGCAGUUAAUUUUAAAGAAGAAAAUGUGGUUUAAUUUCUUGCUAGCUUCUGAUUGCCAAUGCUUUUUCUUUAGUCUUCAAAUCCUUGGAGACCCUAACCCUCACCUGAGCUAUACCGUGAGUUUCCUCUCCCUUCUGCCCUUUACUCAGACUUUGGCUGCUCCUUCGGCUCAAAGUAGUCUGUCACAUCAUUGGAAGCAAUGCCAUCACAGAGGCUAAGUCAGGACCUGGAGUGAGUUUCAGGUAGACAUCUGCUGACAUUUGUGUUGUGUUCUGCCAUGACUCACAGACUUUGUUUCUGAAAGACAAGAUGAAGUCCCAGGUGGAAAAGAGAUAUGGAAACACAGCCUGUGGGUUCUGCAGCCAGAGAACCUGGUAAAAGAGAGGUGAUGGCAGUGGAAAUGAGGAACUCAAGAUAACAGCCUCAUCAGCAUGAUGAAACAGAUAAGGACAAAAGCAGUCUGAAGACAAGCCAGCAAGAUGUGGCUGUGGGCAUGGGGAAGUUGCUUUUCACUAUGUUGGGCACCAAGUAGAAAAGCUGUUGGAGGAGAGAGUCUUUUUGCAGUAGAAUAAAACCAGAAAGAUGCACUGAACUCAGCUGAGACCAGUUGUGGUGGCAUGGCCCAGAGAUGUGGCAAACCACGUGUAGAGCAGUUAUCACUUUGUGCUGUCCUUGUCAGCAUUUGUGCUGUGCUUGUCACAAGUCUAAAGGACUAUUUAGAUUUGAGCUGAAGGCUGCUCCUUUCUGGACAUGUGCUGAUCUUCUACCUGUCAGUAAAGCCACAUACAUGAUGAGGCAAACACCAAGAUCCUUGGCCCCCCAACAGCCCCACUGCGCUAGAGGAGGUUUUUGGUGCACAGCAUCCUGGCCCCAGCCUGCAUGCCUUAUUUCAGGGCAUGAGGUGAGACUGAAGUGCCUUUCUCUGGGAGUGGAUUUGAGUAGGAUACCAAUAGCUCUUUGCAGAGCAGAGAUUUCUUCUUUCAUGGAAGGAACCCUUCUGCAGAGAAGGCAGUUCAAGGGAGACUUUACUGCUGGGCCUAUAAACAAAGAUGAGGACAAUCAUUUUAUCAGGGUCUAAUGUGACAGGACAAGGGGUAAAGAUUUUGGACUGAAGAAGGGGACAUAUAAGGAUGAUAUUUUUUACAAUGAGGAUGGUAAUACACUGGCACAGAUUGCCCAGAGAAGUGGUGGAUGCUCCAUCCCUAGAAAUUUACAAAGCCAGCUUGGAUGGGGCUUUGAGCAAACUGAUCUAGUUGAGGGUGUCCCUGCACACUGCAGAGGCAUUGGACUAGAUGAGCUGUAAAGGCCACUUCCAAUUCAAACCUUUCUGUGCUUCUGUGGAUAGCAUCGCAGGGUACUGCGGGGAGGAUGCAGAGUCUGGCAGAGGGAGCCCGGCGCUGGGAGGCUGAGCUCGGGCUGGUUUUGACUGAGGUGCACUUUGGAGCGGCUGACUCCAGAGGGCAGCACGGCGACAGGUUGGCACCCGCUGCUGCCAGCCCUGCCUGUGUCUGCCUGCUGCGUGCCGGGAGGAAUUCACCUGGCCCCGUACGCCUGAGGACCCGGAGAUGGGAGAAGUGAGAGGAGCCUCUUCCAAUGUCCCUCAGUUCCUGGCUAGGCAGACAGAGGACGCCGUACGAGUGUUAGGUGAAAUUACUUCAGCCUUCGUCGGGGCAAAAUCUGGUCUUGCCUUGGCAUCUGAUGAGCCCGGAGCCCGUCCUGAAACUUCUGUGGUUGCUAAUGAGACCACAAAAUGGAGAUGCAGCAUUUCUCGGUUGGUUUCGGAGCACCGCACGCCGGCGGUUACACCUGCCUCCCUCGCACCGCCGCAGAGCAGCCGGGGAGUCCCCACAAGACGUUCGGUACACCAAGGGCUUUAGACCAGAUGUAAGCUCUUUGCACAGCCUGCUGCUGUUCCCCUUUGCGAACUGAAGGUGCUUUGAUAAACAUACUGAAAGGUCAGCUAUUUUCACUCUGACUGUGGCUUGCAUAAGAACCUCAACAUCCUCUGCUGCAAGAGCCGUGUUAGUAACUUCCUACUGCAACACUGAAUCACAAUAGCUUCCCACAGCAACCAGCGGUUAAAAAUAAACCGGGCAAGGGGAAGUGGACAGCUUCUGCUGUUCCGCUUUCUCGGGCACACUUGAGUCACACACAAAAAAGUGAUGUAGAACAAGCCUUUUAUUUUGCUGAUGCCGAUGAAAUCCAUGAACAGUUCUGAGCGCGGUCCCGCUGAAAUCCUGGAGGGUUUUGCAACGGGAUGUUCUUUGUGCCCGAAGUUAAGCCUGUGCUCGAGUGCUGCUUUGAGUCUUAUGAAUUAAUCUAAAAGGAGACAGGGAUCCCAACGCAGCUGAGUGCUGCUUUUGUACUAAAGAUGAAGGAAAAUGGCCUCCUUGGGAUACUUUCUGUGUCAAGGGUAUAUAAAAGACCACUGGAGAGACGAGAGCUCUGUUACAGCUGCAGUAGCAGCCCUUGGCUUUGAGAAAGAUAGAUCCUGACUGGGUGAAAAAUGUCUUCAAAUACAAUCUGAUUUACAUUUUUUGCCUUGAGUUAUUUGAAAAGCAGAGUUUUGAACAAUAGUAUAUAUUAUAUAUUACAACCAGGACUCUGUGUACGAGUGUGCAGGGUGUUUUAAGGAACAAUAUUUUUCCUGUUACACAAGCUACAGCCCAGGUCUUGAAAUUCAGCCAGCUGGGAAAAAAAACCUGUUGAGACCUAGUCAGGCCACUGAGCCUGGGAAUGUCCUAGUGAGACGGAUGCUGGCUCUUCCCUUUAUAACACUAUUUGCUGGUAAAGUUUAUAGUAAAGCUAAAGAGCGCAGAAGAUCAGGGGAAAAAAAAGGAAUGGUGUAUUUGUCCCAGACAAGGGAGGAAGAGCCAUUCCUCUUCCCAGUCAUGCCCAUGGGAAUUUUGAAAGCAAGGGCUCAUAGAAUAACUACGGUCAAAAGAGACCGCAGGAGGGCUCCAGUCAAAAUUCCUGCUGAAAGAUGGGUCAGCCCUGAGGUCAUUCCAGGUUAGUCUAGGCUGUGCUAAAUUGACUCUGGAAAACCAACACGGAAGGAGAUUGCACAACCUCUCUGAGCAACUCAUCAAUGUUUGACUGCCUGCAUGGUGAAAAUAGACUGCAGUAGAAGUAGCUUAUAUGAAACGAUGUUUUUAAUGUCAUCCUGCUCAUUAAAAAGAGAAAGAUCAAAUCUA